rnacentral:piRNA from 1 species
UNCUGCUCUGCAGGUACAAGUGUGCAAG